GAAAGGUAUGGAUUCUUCUACUUCUCUCGUUCACAGAUUACGUUUCGACGACGAGGCUUGAGUUCAGGGUUUCAGAGAAUGGGAAGCACCGACGGGACAAAUGGCGCUUACACUUAUGAGAAUCUGGAGAGGGAACCAUACUGACCAUUGGAGAAGCUCCGAAUUUCCAUUACUGGAGCUGGUGGUUUUAUUGCCUCUCACAUUGCCAGAAGGUUGAAGAGUGAAGGACAUUAUAUCAUUGCUUCUGAUUGGAA